rfam:Gossypium raimondii Chr07_contig_1156, whole genome shotgun sequence.
CACGUCAGCGCGCUUUGCUGACAUGGCAACAAAUAGCUCUCUCAAGGACGCGCUUUGUUGCCCCGUCAGUAAAGCGUGCUGACGUGG